UGCCAGCAGCCGCGGUAAUACAGAGGGUGCAAGCGUUGUUCGGAAUUAUUGGGCGUAAAGCGCACGUAGGCGGUUUGGAAAGUUGGAUGUGAAAGCCCGGGGCUCAACCCCGGAAGUGCAUCCAAAACUAUCAGACUUGAGUCUCGGAGAGGGUGGUGGAAUUCCUGGUGUAGAGGUGAAAUUCGUAGAUAUCAGGAGGAACACCGGUGGCGAAGGCGGCCACCUGGACGAUGACUGACGCUGAGGUGCGAAAGCGUGGGGAGCAAACAGGAUUAGAUA
rnacentral:rRNA from 1 species